GGCCGCGCCGGGUGCGGGCGGCCUCGGGCGGCCGCUGCUGCCCGGGCCCGCCUGGCGCCACACGCACCCCCACGCAUCCCCCACUCCAGUUUGUCAUCCCGUCCCCGGCGCUGAGGUCAAAUGCAGUGUGAAGGCGAUGUGAAAAUGUAACUGCCAUGGCAUCUGGGCUGUGUCAGAAAGACUUGCUGCCUGUUCUCUGCUUUCUUGGAGCUAAAAGAAAAUUCAGUACCUCAGUCCAGCGAUAUCCCCUGUUGCUACAGCCUGGCCCGAGACUCACAGCCACACUCUUGCAGGAGGAAAACGCUGCAUCUUCAGAAAACUUGGGUUGAAAAAAGCCACACUAGGACUUUCGAGCCUGGAAACACCGGUCAAGCAGGGAACUCUGCAAACCCCUCUUACCCAGAGCGGUCCUUGCUCGGCAGGAGGGCGGCUGGCUGGCUCAGGUGAGUUCUCCUGCGGCCAGGAGAGCAGCCGGGCCAGCGCUGGGCUGCCCCCAAGAGCUGCUGCAUGCCCAAGCAGCACGGGCAGUGCCAGCUUCACCCUGCCUGCCCGCGGCCAGCCCCGGCCCCCUGCGCCAUUCGGGCAGGGGAGCUCGCUGCCGUCUGCGCGCGCCUGACAGCAUCGGUUGCCAUGGCAAUGCGUAUUUGAGCCGGAGCGGAGCUGCAUCUUCCCUGAAGUUGUGAAUUGAGCUUAGCUUUAUUUAUUUAAAACCAACCAUAACGAGUGAUAGAAAGAGGAGAGACACGUUACAAAUCCCCUUGCGCAGGCCGUAGCCAAAUGAGUCAGAGGCGCUGCAGGCUUUAAUCAGCCCACCUGACGUCAAACCUCUCCAUCAGAGGAAAGUGCCGCCUGGAAAUGUCAACAUGCCCAAAUGGAAAGGCCAGAAGGUAAAUCUUUUCCUGUGCUCACUCACCGGGUAGGAAAGAACAAUUAAAAUUCAGCCAGUUCCCUAGACACAUCUUAAUAGCAAUCUGAUUGAAUGCCUUUCUCCUCCCAGUCCUCUCCCAUCCUUGCCGCUAGCUGCCUGGGGACAGGGCCUAUUGGUUUGAAGGAUCUUUCUACUGCAGCAUCAAACCCCAGAUCCUUCAAGAACAAGGUGUUCCCACUGGCAGCAAAAAUGGGCUCUGCAGGAAAACUCUGUCGCCGAAAUGGGCUCUCCCACAAACACUGAGCUAAGCGUGCUGUGACAGCAGUUCCCAGUUUCACACGUGUGGAUGCUCGGGGGUAAGAAGAGCAGCUUAGCUUGGACCUGGGAUGUUACUUGCCGCCAGAAAGUUGGGGUGAGGAAGAAAGCGGCGGUAAUCAGCCCGUGUUUGCCAGAGGUGUCAGCCACCCGUGGGCAGGUCAGCACCAACCCCGAGAGAUGCACCACAGCAAUGGGAAAUGGUUGGGGGGAUGUAACAGAGGCGCAUCCUACUGGGAAGAGAAACCUUCCUGCAUCCUUUCUAACAGGGCUCAAACUCUGGGCCCCCAAGAUAAAGACAAGGUGAGAAGGAGCCCCCAGCUUUGGAUAGAAGAAGCCUGUUCUUGAGUGUUUAUUGUAAGUUAGGCGUGCAGCGGGGAGAGGAGUCAGACAGGGACACCUACGGUUUUAUCUGCCCCUUUGAGGAACAUCAAGCUGGGAAGCCUUGGGAAACCAUCCCUUCCUGGCCCGCUGGUGUUCGCCAGGGGUGACAAAGGGACACACGCAGACAUCAGGGGACACGAGCACGCGGAGAAGGAGGAAGGAAGGAAGAUUGUAAAAUGCAAACCGCACCACUUAAAACCAGGGCGGCUUUCCAUUUCCUCCAGAGUGCUCCCCACACCCAGCGCUGUACAGCAGCCAACCCGGUGGGCUUCUGAUCUUCCCAAAUCACUUAACACUUCUCCCCCUUUUAUUUUUGUCCUAAAUGUAAGCAUUUUGCUUUGGUGGCUGAUCCUGGCAAUGCGUCUCAGACAUUACACUGGGGUUGCUUUUGCUCUGGGAGAUAAGUCUGUAAUGAAGGUUUCCUCCACCGUGUCUCUCUUUCCCCAGUAGUGGAAGUCUGUAAUUACCACUGAGGGGCGAGGCAGACAGCGCUGAAACAAUGUCAUUUGGACAGGGGUGAGACAUGCCUGAAUUGCUGGGUUGUGCUUUUCUCCUGGCAGGAUUGCUUGGGGAUCCGGACCUUGCUUUUAACCCUUGUCAGGGCGGGGAAUGCUGUUCCCCCCGCGUCCCCGACCCGCCUGUGUGCUCUGGAUCUGCUUGGCUCCCAUCGGGGCAGAUCCCGUUGGAUGUAGCCGAGAUGUGAGUGUCCGUCUUUUCCGCCAUGCCCGAGGGGGUCAAGUGGCACAAAUCAGCAGGGAUUACCCUCUCCCUAGUCGUGAUGCAGGUAACUGGGGGGUCUGGGGUUGGCUCCGUACAGCACAUACCGUGUGCCAAAGCAGAGCAGCGGCUGUCUCCUUGCCCUGACUUGUCUAGUCCUGCUCCAGCGGCUCUUCGGCUCCCUUCUGCACCAAAGCCUUCUGCUUCCCACUCCCUGAUGCAAGGUGUCUUCUUGGGGUAAAAUUCAGCCAAAUGGGGUGCGCAGCUAUACCCCUCAUCCCUCCUAGGAGAAGGUUUGAGAUACAGGAAACAAGAGAAAUGAGACAAUGCAGCCCCCUCAGAAUGACUCUUUAGGCAGUCUGUAGCCCCGUGAAGGCUGCCCGGGUCUUUUCUGCAAGCUGACCUUGCAACCAUGCAGGCUAGAAGCCUAGCAGAGUAGAGUAAAUACAAAUUAGUGCAUGGGAAGCUGAGGCAGCCAGCCUCUGCAGUCCUGCAGCUUCCCGUUCACCUGAGCUUCCUGGGAAGUUAUUUAUGGCGUCUUCAAAUGCUAACAAACUGCUGGAAGGAGAUGCCCUCAUACUGAAAUUACUGUUAAUUCAGUUAGACCCCCUGAAACUUGUCUGGUUCUCCAGGGAGAUUGCCAGCAAGAAAAAAAAAAAAAAAAAAAAAAAAAAAAAAAAAAAAAAGGAGGCAAAAUCUCUGCUCUUUUUGAGGUGUAGAGCAAGGAGGGCAGAGUGUGUGUGACAAGGCAAAGAACUGUUCUUAGUCUGCCAUGAAGAAGUGAAGGAGGUUCAAAGAGAUUUUUUCCCCCUUUACCAGUUACUUUCAAAGUGGUGAGUUUUCAUUUCUCAUCUUUCAUUAUAAUACCCAUUUACUGUUUUGGGACUUUGCUUUCUGACAUACCUAAUCCUGCUGCGGGCAGCUCAGCCACUUUCCCAGGAGGCUGAAGAGGUUCCACGGAGGGAUGUUCCUAAGGUGUGGUGUCCCAUGUGCAAGGCUUUCUUUUCCCUAGGUCUUGAAUUCCCCGCUUCCCUGUCUGUCACUCACUCCCUGUUUGCAAGGCCAAUUUAGAUCUACCCGAGGGCCCGAAGUUCACCCCAGAAAGAAUAAUAAUUGCAGCGCUGAGCUCUGCAGCUUCCCUUUCAUUCCCCACAUAGCAUUAGGGUGCUCACUGAAACCACAGCAUUCAUGGAUCCUUGCCAUAUGCAAACAUGCAAUUAAUAUGCUCUUCACUUUCCCCUCUACUUCCCAGGCAAGAGGGGCUAAAGAAGCACAAGUCGUGGUGUGCAUUCCCUUAGCACACCCCCCCCCACACCACACCACCCCCCCCGUGUGUCUGCACCUCGCUCGAGUGCUCCAGCAUGGCUCGCACCUAUCUGGACUUGGUGGUGACCGAUGAAACGUGUCUGCUUGCAGGCAGACAUUUAAUUUGAUGCAGCACCAGUCCCGUGUAGCUGCACGCGAGGCAACACGCAGAACACAACCCAUUUCCUCCUUCAGCUGUGGCAGCAGAUCUGUGAACGCUCUGGUUUCACAGGUGUGCGUGUGUGUGUGUCCCCUUCUCUGGUUUCAGCAGGGAGCUGAGUUAGGUGUCAUCUCCUUGCUGGCUCCCCUCCCUGCCCCACUGCUGCUCACUGGUGGUGGGAGCUGGUGUGCUGGGUGCCAGUCUGGGAAAGGAGGAACUGGAGAGCAGCUGAAGCUGGAUGGAGGGAGAAAUGUGUGUGUGUGUGUUUAAACCAGCCACUGGAAGGAAAUCCAAAGGCAGCCAGAUUUCCUGGAUGAAGCGGGGCUGUGGAGCAGAGGGCAGAGAAAGGCUCCAGCAUCUGCAAGUCCUUCCUCGAAAGUCACCUAUUCACUAGAGGACAUUUUGUUGGAUUCCUCCCCUCCUAUCCUGGCUUUCUGAUGGGUUUUGAAUUGUUCCCACAAAACCUAAAUGAAGAAAUUGCAGCCUGGGUGUUGGAUAGGUAACUAGUUGUGCCAUUGCACGCGGCCUGACUCCUCAGGGACUGUCUGGAGACCGCAGUGCCAAUUCUUUGAACUUGGUUGAAAGUCCCGUUUCCAUCCUCACCUUGUUCUCACUUCAGGAGCAGAGGGGACCUAGUGCGCAGCAGUUGCUCCCUCUGUCUGUGUUGCACAAAACAGUGAGCAAAACCACCCCCGAGCAAUAUACUGAGAGGUAAUCACAUCCAGAGAAAAGCUGGAGAGAAAUAAAGGCAGGAUCGCUACAAAGAGCUACUGGAGGGCCAAAGUAUGGAGCUUGCAUGGCUCCAGAAAGCCUUCGUGGCUAGGAAGAUGGCUUGUGGCAGAAACCAGCUAUUACAUCCAUAUGAACACCAAAGCUGGAAAAACAAACAGGACAAAUGGUAUCUUCUGCCAGACCUGAAGCAAAAGCCUUGCUGCGGUGGAAGUCCUGAAGAGGCAGCCCGAUCCCCAAAACACGCAGCUCUAACAGCCUCUGAGCCGUUCCCAUACCAGCUCUCCAGGCUGCGAACGAGGGCAAACCCCCGGCAGACAACCCCUCCUAUAACAACAGAGCCUGCGUGCAGCAAACCAAAAAUCACCAACAUAGGCAGUUCACCCCACAUUCCUCAAGAAACACUCAUCCUCGAGGAGUUUGUGAAACCUCCUGGCUCGGUCUGGGGCAGAGGAGCGGGGGUUGGGGAACCAAAAGCUUCAGCUUUGCAGGCUGCAAAACAGCCGGGAUUGCUGUGGUCAAGCCCAGGGCCCCGCUCCCCUUGGCUCGCACGCCUUGCUCUCAGGGGCGCAGGGUGAAGGCAAACCAAAUGCGAAGGGGUAUGAGGAGAGCCUUGCAGGGCUCUCCCCCGCUGGUAUGAAAGCAGGCAGCGGCAGCAAGACGAGGCAGGAUGGAGCAGAGGGGAGCGGGAUCCCUUCCUUACGAGAACCGGGUGGAUGAUUCGCUUCCCAACGCUGAUAAAAUGCGCUUGGUGCAUACAUGUGCGUCUGCAGUUAUCGAGUGUUGUGCGGCCGGGAGGGCUUAUCUGCUGUCAGUUUGAGACCUCUCCAAUCGAAGCGUGCUUGGUUGCUGUUUCAGCCUCCCGCUGUGAUCAGAUUGCAAGCACAUCUAAAUAGAAAAUCAGUGAAAAUAGGGCUGAAAAAGAAUUUGAGCGAUCACGUGCUUCAGCCCCAAGAUCGCCUCCCGAUCUGCAACACCUAUGUCCCAAGAGAUGGCUGCAGAACUUGCCUUUGAAGAUGUUCCGGUGAGGGCGACGCUGCCGCUCCCCAGGCACUCGCCUGUCACUGCUCGUCCCCUCCGGUGUGGCAAUGCAGACCAAUCCUCGCCUUCCUAUUUCCUGCAGCAAUUCGAGCGCCUGAAGACUGUUGGCGCGACAGUCAUCACUUUAGGCCGGAGAAGCCCAGUUCCCUCAGUCCUUUUUGAGGGUUCACGUUUUCUCCAGUCGUUCCCACUGCCCUGGCACCCAGCCCAGUUCGUCCGCACUUUGCUCCAGGGGUGGCACCUCAGGUAGGCGUGGUGUUUCGGCUAACACCCUAUUCUGCACUGGUCCUCUGCAGAGCGGAAGGGGAACUUCCCACCGCAAAGCUUUUGUAGGAGGAUUCCUACCUCUAUAUCCCGGCGUGGCAUUUGCCUUUUCCACAGCCGUGUGAUGCUGUUAACGCCGUUCCAGUCUCGCAAGAGCUGUAGUCACCAGGCCCCUGCUCAGCCUGUCCUUUCCCUGCUCGCUGCGGGCACCCCCCUGCCAGCUGCAGCAGCAUGCCCGAGUUUUACCGAAUCGCAGUCGCCUCCCCUCACCCCAUCAUCGCUUUCCCCGUCCCCAGGUCUCUUCUGGAGCACAAAACAGCUCGCCUGCGAAAAUACCUCUCCUUUUUGGCUCCAGAGGGUCAGCGGCGACGCUCUCUGAGCACCAAAGUAACGUUUGUGUUGCCUUUAGUGGCCUGCAUGCGGGGGAAGUGUCCGUCCCAGUGCUAGGGAUGGGGGUCCCUGUCAGAGCUCUCCAAGACAGGACAGAGCAGCGCAACACCAGAAAGGCAGGUUUGGUAUAAUCUUUCCUUGCCUGAAGAGGUGCAGCAGCGAUAGGCAAGGGAGCUGCAGCCGGGCAGUUCUGCUCAGCACUAAAAAUAUGAAAUAGGAGCAGGGUCUCAGGGCAGGCGGUUUCAUAUUUUUCUGAGAUAUUUUAAUCUUCCGAAUGGACUUUCACGAUCCCUAUCUGAACGUGCCGAAGCGUUUUUCCUUCGGAGUGCAGACAAACAAGCGAGGUUUACUUUGCCUGACCUUUUCUGAUGACAUUGCCACCCGUGCUGUGCUGGAGCUGACACCAGCUCAGCUUCCUCGGCCCGGCGCCGCGGGUGAAUACGGCGCGUGUCCUGCGAAGAGGCUUCCUGGUGUUAACUCCGGCGAGGCACUGAACCAGAAACUCUUGGUCUCCCCAGCGAGUCCUCGCAGCCAGGGAAGCGAUAGCUGUGUUUGGUUAGCGGCGGGAGGUGAGGCUGCCCCUGCUGUGGCUCUGCUCGUGCUCCGUGUCCCUGCGCUGUCACCCCAUUGCUGUCGCAAGGCUCAGUCCUUCCACCCCUCGCCGCUGAGAGCCCUGCUGACUGGGAUGACAAAGGAAAGAUGUCUUUCCCCUUGCCUGGAGAUGAGAGGUUUGCUUCUUGCUGAAGGGUCUGGGCAUAUUUUUUUCUCCCCAUCUUACAGUGGAAAAGGGUUCUGCGCCCCCCCCCCCCCCCCCCCGCCUUUAAACCCACUGGCACCCACAGACAAAGAGAUUUCUUUACCAUUAAGGAAGGAGGAACAGCAUUAUUUUCUCAGCACAACUCCAUCCUGGCUGAAUUUAUGUCUCUGACCUUUUACCCAAAGGCUCUUUACACUUGACUGAAACAUAAGGUAAAAGUAAAUGUGACUGAAAGAGCC